AUACGGAGGAUCCGAGCGUUAUCCGGAUUUAUUGGGUUUAAAGGGAGCGUAGGCGGACGCUUAAGUCAGUUGUGAAAGUUUGCGGCUCAACCGUAAAAUUGCAGUUGAUACUGGGUGUCUUGAGUACAGUAGAGGCAGGCGGAAUUCGUGGUGUAGCGGUGAAAUGUUUAGAUAUCACGAAGAACUCCGAUUGCGAAGGCAGCCUGCUGGACUGUAACUGACGCUGAUGCUCGAAAGUGUGGGUAUCAAACAGGAUUAGAUACCCUGGUAGUCCACACAGUAAACGAUGAAUACUCGCUGUUUGCGAUAUACAGUAAGCGGCCAAGCGAAAGCGUUAAGUAUUCCACCUGGGGAGUACGCCGGCAACGGUGAAACUCAAAUGAAUUGACGGGG
rnacentral:rRNA from 1 species